AUUCUCUCGUGGUCCAUAAACCUAAUGAUUGGGUUUCCGCACCAUUUAUGAGAUGUGCCUUUCUCAAACUUGUUAUGAUGUCAAAACAUUACUUGUCUGACA
rfam:Cavia porcellus supercont2_24 genomic scaffold, whole genome shotgun sequence.